UUGACCUCGGAUCAGGUAGGAAUACCCGCUGAACUUAAGCAUAUCAAUAAGCGGAGGAAAAGAAACCAACAGGGAUUGCCCUAGUAACGGCGAGUGAAGCGGCAACAGCUCAAAUUUGAAAUCUGGCUUCGGCCCGAGUUGUAAUUUGUAGAGGAUGCUUUUGGUGCGGUGCCUUCUGAGUUCCCUGGAACGGGACGCCUUAGAGGGUGAGAGCCCCGUAAAGUUGGACACCAAGCCUAUGUAAAGCUCCUUCGACGAGUCGAGUAGUUUGGGAAUGCUGCUCAAAAUGGGAGGUAAAUUUCUUCUAAAGCUAAAUACCGGCCAGAGACCGAUAGCGCACAAGUAGAGUGAUCGAAAGAUGAAAAGCACUUUGAAAAGAGGGUUAAAAAGUACGUGAAAUUGUUGAAAGGGAAGCGCUCAUGACCAGACUUGUGCCUGCGGAUCAUUCCAGCCUUCUGGCUGGUGCACUUCGCUUGGUUCAGGCCAGCAUCGGUUCUCCGGGGGGGAUAAAAGCUUCAGGAACGUUAGCUCCCUCGGGAGCAUUAUAGCCUGUUGCAUAAUACCCUCUAGGGGACCGAGGUUCGC
rnacentral:rRNA from 1 species